AAUGUAUUAGACUGUGUCAAUGGUACGAGACAUUACUAACGAGUAAAGGUAAUUUCUUCUAUAGGAUAGAUUAAAUAUACCACCUAGAAUUAGCGAUGAUUUUUACACAAACUCAGCAUGUCUGUUUUGUAAUUACCAAUCCGUUUAAUUUAUUUGAUGUGCGCUCAAAAGAUAUAUAACAAUAAUCAAGGACAAGAAGCAUGAAUAAUUGAUGACA